rnacentral:lncRNA from 13 species
ACCUGUUGCACCUUAACUAAAACUGUCAUGAGCAAAAUCAUUUUUAAAAGCAUUUCUUUGACUUGAGAAUAUAUGACAGAAACCAUUGUAAAUAGAAUUCCUUGAAAACAAUACUUUGCUAAAAGGGGUGUUUUAUAAAGGAUAUUCUGUUCUAAAGACCUAAAGACACUAGGUUGGUGGCUGGAGAUACGAUGAAAGAGACAUAGUCCCUCUCCUCAAAGCUUACGAUCUAGCAUUCCUCCCUGGACAAGAGAAGGAAAAAUGGGGAGAAGAGAUAGAAUCAGGUUUGUUUUAAGGAAUUGGCUCAUGUGAUUGUGGAGGGUUAGUGAGUACAAAACCAGUUCAUGCAGGCCACCAGACUGGCAACUCACAGGAGAGUAUUGCAC